CACCAGAUGAGGACAGAGAAAGAAGUGCCAGCUAUGGACUAGGAAAUGAGCCUUCACCAGAGGUAACCAUGCUGGCACAUUGAUCUUGGACUUCCCAGCCUCCAGAACUGUCACCUGCCCAAAUGCAACCUUGAACCAAACCAGAUGUCAGAGGGAAGAGAGUGUCUGUUGACAUUGUCCAGGCUGCAGAUGUCUCCAGGAAAAAUUGGAAAACAUGAACAUACAGGAUCUUAGUUCCGCCACACCCGCUCCCUCUGCAUUGGAAACACGGAGUCUUAACCACUGGACUGCCAGGGAAUUCCCUGAAGAUAUUUACUUCUUAUGGAUACUGUGAAGGUUAUAUGAAAUAACAUGUAGAUCUGGUGGCAUAACACCUAGCACAUAGUAAGUGAUUAAGGAAUAUUAGUUAUUCUUUAUUGCAUAAUAGAUAAUCAUAACGAAAAUGAAUGACAUGCUAAAUCAAGUAUGUGUUCUAUGUUUGAUAAGCUUUCAUAUGGAGUAUUUCAUUGUACUCAAAGUUUGAUAAUAGGCUAUCUGAACAUGGUAUAUAUUUAAUUAUUCAAAAUAAUGAAUCAGACUAGUUUAUUCCAAAAAUUUUGGAUGAAUAAAAGUUGGUUUAAAUAGUGAAUAUAAACUAUAAGAGAAAUCUUAAGAAAAGACACUUUCAAUCCAAUCAUUUUAAAAUAUAAUAGGAAAUUUCAACAGCUUAAUUAUGCUUAUUAUUACAUGUUUAUCUGCUCAUUAAAUCAAAUCCUGAAGUACAUUUAUUUGGCAAAUGAGUAUUGCGAGUUAUAAAA